rnacentral:rRNA from 1 species
GGAGGGUGCAAGCGUUGUUCGGAAUUAUUGGGCGUAAAGAGCGUGUAGGCGGUCCGGUAAGUCAGAUGUGAAAGCCCUGGGCUCAACCCAGGAAGUGCAUUUGAAACUACCAGACUUGAGUACGGGAGAGGAGGGGGGAAUUCCCGGUGUAGAGGUGAAAUUCGUAGAUAUCGGGAGGAAUACCAGUGGCGAAGGCGCCCCCUGGACCGAUACUGACGCUGAGACGCGAAAGCGUGGGGAGCAAACAGGAUUAGAUACCCUGGGUAGUCCACGCCGUAAACGAUGAGCACUAGGUGUAGCGGGUAUUGACCCCCCUGCUGUGCCGUAGCUAACGCAUUAAGUGCUCCGCCUGGGGGACUACGGUCGCAAGACUA